UCCCUCACCAACCAUAAAAAAAAUGGGGGGAAAACCAAAAAAAAAAAAAAUCGGGGGCGGAAUCUCAGCAAACGGGAAUGAAAAAAAUUUGGGGGGGGGGAUUGAAAAAAUUGGGGGGACCCCCCCCCCCCUUGACGGGAUUUGGGGUGGCCAAAUUUUGGGGUUUGUGGCCAGGGUCACCUGGUGGUUCUGCGCCUUCCCCUAUUCCCUGCUGAUCUUCGCCUACGACGAGGUGAGGAAACUGAUCCUGAGGCGCUACCCCGGAGGCUGGGUGGAGAAGGAAACCUAUUAUUGAUCCUAUUAUCGAUCCUAUUAUCGAUCCUAUUAUCGAUCCUAUUAUCGAUCCCUUCCCCCCCUUUUGGGACCCCCGGAGCCCCCCCCGCACCCCAAAACUAACCCGGGGGGGCUCGGGACCCCCCUGAAUUUGGGGGGGCACCCGGACCCCCCCCCCCCCGGAGAGCAAUAAACCAGUUUAACCCCC